rnacentral:lncRNA from 1 species
GGAAAAGAAAGCAGGAAACACUGGAAAGAUAAAUGAGGUCUUUCCUAUGAAGACUCAACUUUUCUACAUAAUUAAGAAUUUACAGCUUAAGCACUGCCAAAAACCACAUCUGAACUGAAAUCAAUUAUCUGUGUUUGGUAAGUCUGGCAGAAAACAUUUGAUAAACAUUUUUAUUUGCAAUAAACUCUAAUGUUCAUGCUUUAUCUUUGAUCUU